rnacentral:rRNA from 1 species
UACAGAGGUCUCAAGCGUUGUUCGGAUUCAUUGGGCGUAAAGGGCGCGUAGGCGGCGGGGUCAGUCGGGUGUGAAAUCUUGGGGCUCAACCCCGAAACGGCACUCGAAACUGCCCGGCUGGAGGGCCGGAGAGGAGAUCGGAAUUCACGGUGUAGCAGUGAAAUGCGUAGAGAUCGUGAGGAAGACCCGUGGCGAAGGCGGAUCUCUGGACGGCUAACUGACGCUGAGGCGCGAAGGCCAGGGGAGCAAACGGG